rnacentral:rRNA from 1 species
AUGUUUCCUCAAAAUUCCAUUCCAAAAGAAAAAACCGGGCCAGUUGAAAUUCUAAAGUUUUUAAAGCGGCAUGAUUGUUUCCCCGAUGCAAAGUAUUACAUAUAGAGUUCUGUUGACUAUCCAUGUGACUGUUGCAUCAACGAAACAAAGCUUUUUUUAGAAGAAAAGGGCUCGAAGCCCCGGGGGAACAGAGCUUUACUAAAUAAGGCUAUUGAAGUCCUAGAUGUGAAGUACCAUGACAUAACAAUGACUCACUGA